rnacentral:rRNA from 1 species
UACGGAGGGGGCUAGCGUUGUUCGGAAUUACUGGGCGUAAAGCGCGCGUAGGCGGCCCUGCAAGUCGGGGGUGAAAGCCCGAGGCUCAACCUCGGAACUGCCUUCGAUACUGCGGGUCUCGAGUCCGGGAGAGGUGAGUGGAAUUCCUAGUGUAGAGGUGAAAUUCGUAGAUAUUAGGAAGAACACCAGUGGCGAAGGCGGCUCACUGGCCCGGUACUGACGCUGAGGCGCGAAAGCGUGGGGAGCAAGCAGG